GAGCUUGUAUGGUAAAACGAGAACUGCUAAUUACUCGCAACCAUGGUUCAAUUCCAUGGCCCGCUCG
rnacentral:tRNA from 4 species